rnacentral:lncRNA from 1 species
UCAUCCCUGAACUUGUUUGUCAUAUUGGAGUCUUCAUUAAGCAGUCUUUAGAACUGAGGGGGUCAGACACAUGUCAGACAAGCUCAUGAUUGUGUUUUAUACAUCAAUUUAUAAUUUGAACUCUUAAAAUAUGUUCUAUUAUAUUGUAUUGUAUUUCAUUGUAUUGCAUUGUAUUUAAAAUGUAUAAUUGUUUGUUUGUAUUGCUUGACCCUUAUGGGUGUAAUUUUGCAAUAAAGAUAUAUUAUUUGUUUUUUAACUGACGAUUUACGACGUUUUGGUGUUCAAUUUUGAAAACAUUACCCAGAAUCAAUUUGAUUUUGAAACGGCGCAUUAGUACGCCAACACAACGAAAGAUGAUUUGGUACAGCUUGCAUGAGAAAAUAACAUAUCAAAAGUGUAUGCUUUAGAUGACCUUCAUUAAAAUCCAAUAUUCGUCUGUUGCUGUGUUAAUUGCUGUGAAUUCAAUUGUUCUGGAAGAUGUGCUGCCAUUGCGACAUCAGAAAAAAAGUCCCUUUCUUAAGUCAUUGGUUCCUGUUCUGACGUUAUCGAGUGUGCUGCCUGUACAUGACGAUUAAUAAAAUCAUUAAAAUGAAACAAAAUAUUCCACCGAGUCCACUUAAUAUAAUGGAAUAAGGAAUUUCCAUGUUUAUGUUCGUCUGUGUUGCCACAACAAUUACUCCAGUAAGCCAACGCCAAACUGCCACCCCGGUUGCUCCUCCU